AUGAAGGUGUAUGAUAGAGUUGAAUGGAACUAUCUAGAUGCUGUGAUGUUAAAACUUGGGUUGGAGCAAGGUUGGGUUAAGAGAAUUAUGAGGUGUGUGUCCACUGUGACUUUUUCUGUCCUGGUUAACGGAGUAAAGAUGGAGAAGUUCAAGCCAACUAGAGGGAUACGACAAGGAGAUCCCAUAUCUCCAUACUUGUUCCUCUUAGCUGCCGAGGGUCUCUCUUGUCUGUUGAAGGCUAGGAGUGAUGAUGUUAACAUAAAGGGUGUGGUUGUAGCCCCUACGGCGCCACCGGUAAAUCAUCUCCUUUUUGCGAAUGAUUGUUUGUUGAUCUUCAAGGCAAACAUAGAAGGGGCUAAAAAAUAG
rnacentral:rRNA from 1 species